UACGAACUGUGCGAACGUUAUUCGGAAUCACUGGGCUUACAGGGUGCGUAGGCGGCUUAGCAAGUCAGGUGUGAAAGCCCCCCGGCUCAACCGGGGAACUGCGCUUGAAACUGCUGAGCUCGAGUCAGCUAGAGGUACACGGAACUUCCAGUGGAGCCGGUGAAAUGUGUUGAUAUUGGAAGGAACACCGGAGGCGAAAGCGGUGUACUGGGGCUGGUCUGACGCUGAGGCACGAAAGCCAGGGGAGCGAACGGG
rnacentral:rRNA from 1 species